CUGGGCUUGACAUCCCGAUCGCACUUUAUGGAAACAUAGAGGUCAGUUCGGCUGGAUCGGAGACAGGUGCUGCAUGGCUGUCGUCAGCUCGUGUCGUGAGAUGUUGGGUUAAGUCCCGCAACGAGCGCAACCCUUGUCCUUAGUUGCCAUCAUUUGGUUGGGCACUCUAAGGAGACUGCCGGUGUUAAACCGGAGGAAGGUGGGGAUGACGUCAAGUCCUCAUGGCCCUUAUGUCCAGGGCUACACACGUGCUACAAUGGCCGGUACAAAGGGAAGCAAGACCGCGAGGUGGAGCCAAUCCCAAAAAGCCGGUCUCAGUUCGGAUUGGAGUCUGCAACUCGACUCCAUGAAGUUGGAAUCGCUAGUAAUCGUGGAUCAGCAUGCCACGGUGAAUACGUUCCC
rnacentral:rRNA from 1 species